rnacentral:rRNA from 1 species
AUUGAACGCUGGCGGCAUGCCUUACACAUGCGAGUCGAACGGUAACAGGUCUUCGGAUGCUGACGAGUGGCGAACGGGUGAGUAAUACAUCGGAACGUGCCCGAUCGUGGGGGAUAACGAGGCGAAAGCUUUGCUAAUACCGCAUACGAUCUACGGAUGAAAGCGGGGGAUCUUCGGACCUCGCGCGGACGGAGCGGCCGAUGGCAGAUUAGGUAGUUGGUGGGAUAAAAGCUUACCAAGCCGACGAUCUGUAGCUGGUCUGAGAGGAUGAUCAGCCACACUGGGACUGAGACACGGCCCAGACUCCUACGGGAGGCAGCAGUGGGGAAUUUUGGACAAUGGGCGAAAGCCUGAUCCAGCCAUGCCGCGUGCAGGAUGAAGGCCUUCGGGUUGUAAACUGCUUUUGUACGGAACGAAAAGCCUCUUUCUAAUAAAGAGGGGUCAUGACGGUACCGUAAGAAUAAGCACCGGCUAACUACGU